rnacentral:lncRNA from 1 species
CAAAACCGUAUAUCAAUAUUUUUAAAAAAACAAAACUCCAAACAUUGGAUUAAUAAAAUGGCAAAAAUUAUUAGGCGUAAAACCAUUACAAAUUAAACACUCCUUAUCAUUUACAAACAAAGAAAUAUACACAAACAAGCUUAAAGUAUAUAAAUAUAUAUGAUAUAUAAGUAAUUAAGUAGCCCAUGUCGCAUACUUAGGGCCCCUCAAUUUUAACAGCCUCACUUGACCAGAAAAAAAUAUCAAAAGAGUUUAUAGAAUAGUUUUACAUUCAUAAUUUUUGUCGAGCCUGCAACUUUUGUUGCAGAAAGCUCGACAUAGGGAUAGUGAUCCGGCGGCGGCGGCGGCGGCUACGGCGGCUACGGCGGCGGCGUUAGCUAACUUCUUAAAAGCUUUAUAUUUUGGAAGGUGGAAGACCUGGAUGCUUCAUACUUUGUAUAUAGAUGCCUCAUGUUACGAAGUUUCCGUCAGUCACAUGUCCAAUGUCCUUGACCUCAUUUUCAUGGUUCAGUGACCACUUGAAAAAAAAGUUCAAAUUUUUUGUAAUGUUGAAUUCUCUCUUAUUAUAAGUAAUAGGAUAACUAUAUUUGAUAUGUGCGUACCUUGCAAGGUUCUCAUGUCUGUCAGACAGUUUUCACUUGACCUCGACCUCAUUUCAUGGAUCAGUGAACAAGGUUAAGUUUUGGUGGUCAAGUCCAUAUCUCAGAUACUAUAAGCAAUAGGGCUAGUAUAUUCAGUGUAUGGAAGGACUGUAAGGUGUACAUGUCCAACUGGCAGGUGUCAACUGACCUUGACCUCAUUUUCAUGGUUCAGUGGUUAUAGUUAAAUUUUUGUGUUUUGGUCUGUUUUUCUCAUACUAUAUGCAAUAGGUCUACUAUAUUUGUUGUAUAGAACGAUUGUAAGGUGUACAUGUCUAGCGGACAGAUGUCAUGUGACCUUGACCUCAUUUUCACGGUUCAGUGGUCAAAGUUAAAUUUUUGUGUUUUGGUCUGUUUUUCUCAUACUAUAUGCAAUAGGUCUACUAUAUUUGUUGUAUGGAACGAUUGUAAGGUGUACAUGUCUAGCGGGCAGAUGUCAUGUGACCUUGACCUCAUUUUCAUGGUUCAGUGGUCAAAGUUAAAAUUUUUGUGUUUUGGUCUGUUUUUCUCAUACUAUAUGCAAUAGGUCUACUACAUUUGUUGUAUGGAACUAUUGUAAGGUGUACAUGUCUAGCGGGCAGAUGUCAUGUGACCUUGACCUCAUUUUCAUGGUUCAGUGGUCAAAGUUUUUAUCUAAUACUAUAUGCCAUAGGUCAACUAUAUUUGUUGUAUGGAAAUAUUUUAUGAUCUUUAUGUCAGUCGCACAGGUUUUAUUUGAUCGUGACCUCAUUUUCACGGUUCAUUGCACAGUAUUAAGUUUUUGUGUUUUGGUCUAUUUUUCUUAAACUAUAUAAGUAAUAAAUCAACUAUAUAUGUUGUAUAGAAGCAUUGUUAGCUGUACAUGUCUGCCUGGCAUGGUUCAUCUGACCUUGACCUCAUUUUCAAGGUUCAUUGGUCUAUGUUUAGUUAUCUUGGUUAAUGUUAAGUUUAUGUGACAGUUGUUAUAAAGCUUAGCUUUAUACUAAGGACUAUCAACAUAAUAUCAGUGAUUAGUAUAGAAGGCGAGACAUUUCAGCGUGUGAACUCUUGUAUUUAAAUAA